UAACGCGUGGGUGACGUACCUGUUGGUGGGGAAUAACUGCCCGAAAGGGUGGCUAAUUCCGCAUAAGUCCUUCGGAUCAAGCUGAAGGGGAAAGCUUCGCAAGAGGCGCCGAUGGAGCGGCCCGCGUCCGAUUAGCUUGUUGGUGGGGUAACGGCCUACCAAGGCGACGAUCGGUAGCUGGUCUUAGAGGAUGAUCAGCCAGACUGGGACUGAGACACGGCCCAG
rnacentral:rRNA from 1 species